AAAUUGAAGAGUUUGAUCAUGGCUCAGAUUGAACGCUGGCGGCAGGCCUAACACAUGCAAGUCGAGCGGUAGCACAGAGAGCUUGCUCUCGGGUGACGAGCGGCGGACGGGUGAGUAAUGUCUGGGAAACUGCCUGAUGGAGGGGGAUAACUACUGGAAACGGUAGCUAAUACCGCAUAACGUCGCAAGACCAAAGUGGGGGACCUUCGGGCCUCAUGCCAUCAGAUGUGCCCAGAUGGGAUUAGCUAGUAGGUG
rnacentral:rRNA from 1 species